GAUGAAGAACGUAGCGAAAUGCGAUAAGUAAUGUGAAUUGCAGAAUUCAGUGAAUCAUCGAAUCUUUGAACGCACAUUGCGCCCGCCAGUAUUCUGGCGGGCAUGCCUGUUCGAGCGUCAUUUCAACCAUCAAGCCCCCGGCUUGUGUGUUGGGCUCCGUCCCCCCGGGGACGGGCCCGAAAGGCAGCGGCGGCACCGAGUCCGGUCCUCGAGCGUAUGGGGCUUUGUCACCCGCUCUGUAGGCCCGGCCGGCGCCAGCCGACAACCCAUCAUCCUUUUCAGGUUGACCUCGGAUCAGGUAGGGAUACCCGCUGAACUUAAGCAUAUCAAUAAGCGGAGGA
rnacentral:misc_RNA from 1 species